GACCCUGUAGCUCAGUUGGUAGAGCAUCUGACUUUUAAUCAGAGGGCCCCGGGUUCGAGUCCCGGCGGGGUCACCA
rnacentral:tRNA from 1 species